CCUACGGGUGGCAGCAGUGAGGAAUAUUGGUCAAUGGGCGUAAGCCUGAACCAGCCAAGUCGCGUGAGGGAUGAAGGCUCUAUGGAUUGUAAACCGUUUUUAUAAGGGAAUAAAGUGCGGGACGUGUCCUAUUUUGUAUGUACCUUAUGAAUAAGGACCGGCUAACUCCGUGCCAGCAGCCGCGGUAAUACGGAGGUUCCGAGCGUUAUCCGGAUUUCUUGGGUUUAAAGGGUGCGUAGGCGGCCUUGUAAGCCUGCGGUGAAAGUCUGUGGCUCAACCAUAGAAUUGCCGUUGAAACUGGGGGGCUUGAGUAUGUGUGAGGCAGGCGGAAUGCGUGGUGUAGCGGUGAAAUGCUUAGAUAUCACGCAGAACCCCGAUUGCGAAGGCAGCCUGCGAAGCCAUGACUGACGCUGAUGCACGAAAGCGUGGGGAUCAAACAGGAUUAGAUACCCCAGUAGUC
rnacentral:rRNA from 1 species